CAAUAAGGUAAGAAAUCUUCCUUAGCCAUAUCCCUCCUAACAACUUUCUUGUCACAACAAGCAUAUGUACCGUGAUCUGUAGAGAAUUUUCCCUCUCUACAUUUUCUUUUUGUCUCUUCAUUAAUUUUUCACCUUCUGUUAUUACAAGAACCCUUAUUGUUUCUUCCUUAAAAUAGUAAUUGAAGAUCAAAUGUUUUUAGCGGUAUACAAAGGUGUUGGCAUGGAAUGUCGGCAUCCAGGCGAUGAUGCAUGGCUGACAAGUUCAAGACCACGGAAGCAGUGGGAGGGAUAUGGUAUUUCAGCCGAGUAGUGUGCAAUAUCUACAAGAUGAUUACAGCAAGAUUGUUCAAGCUGGGGUGUUCACAAUCAUAAAUCAUGUUUGGAGAAGAGCUACGUCCAAAGUAUGAAGAACUGCGAUUGCAAAUGACCAAUAAGCCACGACAGAGGACAUGCUUUGGCUUGCUAACUUACGAGUUAUGACAUUGAGAAAUCAUGGGUUGUUUGCCAAAAAGCAAGCAUUAAUAUUCAGGAAAGUUUGCAGCAACCCAGCAAAGUCAUGAAAGAACAUCGAUCUUUCAUUUGGACAAUAGCCGGUGCAUAGCAAGGCAAAAAGAGCAACUUCUCUGCCCACACAUUAAGCAUCAACAAACAAAAUCAAUCUCUUCGAUGUUAAUGACAAGCUUGAUGACACCUUUGUUGGUGUGGACGUCAACGGUGAAAAACAAUAAAUUGUGAAAAAAAGAAUUGAACAAUCAAUCAAGUUGAGCGAUUACCUUAA